UCCUCCUAGUUUCUUUGAUCAUGUUUUUAGUCAAUGAAAUUUAUUCUCUUAGUUUCCACACAUAGUGUUUUCAUUAAAGUUAUGACUAUGGAAAUGAUUCAUUAAACUAUGGUUUUUGUUUCAAAAAAAAAAAUGUUGAGUUCUUGUCUUUGUAAAAUUUUCAAUUAGAGCUUUUUCCAAAGUGCUUUUACAAAUGUUAUUCCCCAUCACCGGAUCUAUGGAUUUCACCAUUUAGUUUUCUUAAAACUUGUUUUUUUUAGUUAAGAGAUUUUGGGAUUUUAAGAGCUUUAAUUUAAGUCUUGAUUAGUUGUGUUUAAAUGUUACAAAUGGAUUUGGAAGUGAUUUGGGGAAAAAGGUGAAUUUAUACAUAGUUAUGUAGAUGUGGCCGAGCCUAUGACAUGUGUUUUGGGUUUGGAAAAUCAAUUAUGAAACUUGUUUUUGUUUAGUGAAAAUCAUAAGUUAAGUUUGAGGACUAAAAGUUUAUUGUGGGAAAACUUUAGGAUUAAAGCACAAGAGGCUGAGAAGUUUUGGGUUAAACCGGAGUUUUAAAAGUCUUGGGGUUUGUUUGAUAAAUUUAUAAAAGAUUGAGGGUUGAAAAAGAACUUACUUUUAUGUGAGGACCUUUUCUUGAUUAUGUGCUUAUCAAGGGACUAGGGUUGAAUUAUUUAAAAAUUGAGGAGUUGUUUGCGAAAUGUGUUUUUUUUUAAGGACCUUUCUUUAAAACUCACAAAUAUUUUAUCUUUGGACUUUAGUCCUUGAAACAUAAAGUUUGUGCAUUUAGCCUAAGUGAGCUAGAAUGAUUGGCUAAGUUUGUUCUGGAACUUUAGAUGUAACUUUAGAGGCUAUGGUUUAGUAUGUGAACUUGUGAAGGGUACGAAGGACGGAAGCGCUUGACGAUGAAGCCAAAGAACAAACGGAAGUGAGCCAACACGGGAAAGCAAAGAUAUGACUGGAUUUGAUUUGAGUCGCAACUUAGUAAGGAAAGCGCCUAAGGUUAGGGCAACUUACAUAUUAGCUAUGACUGCAUGAUAGGCGUCGAUCAACUUGACUUAUGCUUUAUCUGAUGUUGUUUAUGAUGAUGAGUUGAUGUUAUGAUGUUUUUCCAUAACUUGUGAUAUUGUGAUAUUGUUGGAUUGUGCGUUUUGACGCGACUUCGGAGUGGAGAUUCAUUGAUCUGGUGAUCUUUGAUAUUUCGGGUUGGAUGAACAACCCUAGGCAAGUCCAAACGAGGGGUUGAGACUUAGCCAUUUGUUGGGAUUCGUUUGAAUACUUAGACUUUCCCCGGGAAACUUCUUUUGGGUGGUUUGUCUUUGGAAAACUUAGAAUGAUUAGAAUUUCGAAAACUAGAGACUUUGGGAGACUUAGACUUUGAGAAAUAAACUCAUAACCUGACUAAUUCAAUUCGAAACGUUUUUACUAAAUGAAUAAUCAUAGGAGAAUUGGAGGGGAAAAUAUUUACGAAAGACGGGGAAAAGUCGACUUUUGUUGUGGGUUUGGAGAGUUUUGGAAUUGGGAAAGCCACUAAGGUGAGCUAUGGUGAUGAUUGAAAGUCACCGAGUAAUCUAGUACUCUUGGGAGUGUUGUGGAGCCGUGUUGUAUUGACCGACACCUAGUGCUCUUGUUGUUUGGGUUGUGUUGUAUUGACCGACACUAGACCCUUGUGUAUUCUUGUUGAUGGAGUUGUGUUGUAUUGACCGACACUUACUCCGAGUUGUGUUGUAUUGACCGACACUAACUCAUGGUUCUGUUGAGGUUGGGUUGUGAGCUAAACACUUUCGUGGUAAGGGCGAUUCGUUGUUUGGCUAACCAUAUUGCAUCAAUCGGGUGAAUAACGGGAAUGGUUCACCUGUGCAUCUCAUGGUAGAUAACGGGAAUGGUUCACCUUGCAUUAAUGAUGAAUAACGGGAAUGGUUCAUCAUAUGGUGAAUAACGGGAAUGGUUCACCAAGGAUGAAUAACGGGAAUGGUUCAUCCAGGAUGAAUAACGGGAAUGGUUCAUCCAUAGUGAAGAACGGGAAUGCUUCACUUGUGGCGAACGGGAACGCGUCACAAAUCCGGAUUCAUGAUUGCAUAUCACGCAUACAUUCAUUCUGACUUGAACUGUGUGAUGUUUGGUUAUUGAAGCAAUGUUAGAGCCAUAACAUGCUAGGAUUGUUUAUAUAUAUAUAUAUAUAUAUCAACAUAUAUCUAUACCCCAUAUCACAUGUUGAGUGUAUAUCUACUUAUUUCUGUGAGUUGACCCUAGCGCCUUGGCUUUGGUUGUAUGUUUGUGUUUGGGCGGUCGGCCUGCUGCCAGAUGUCGACGGUGGAUUGGGUUUCGAUGGUCUUUCCCUCGGGGGGGAUCAGAUAUGAGUUGGUGGACCGUCAUGCCCCACCGCUUGGGUGAUCUAUCUUGUGGGUCAUCGGGCGACGUACCGGGGAAGGGUCAUGGAGGACCGGACUGACGAGAGUGGACGUCUGACGAAAGGAGCUUUACGACGCAUGGAGCUGAGCUUCAACUUGCCAACUUCAGUUCGCAGUGGACUUGGUACUGGGAGGGUAGGUUUAGGCAGGCGUCAUAUUUUGUGUAGAGCUCUGAUUCGCUUUGCUAUUGGGACAGGGUAGGUUCCCGACGCAUGACUUUUGUGUGGUUCUCUUACUGAGGGAUCACAGUGAGUCAGUCGGACCAUAGGGGUCUUUGCUUAGGUCAUUUUGAGGCCGACUUUCUCCUAGUGGUUUGUAAUUAUAAUUUUCUCACUUACACUUCUGGGUCUGUAUAUAUUUUCCUAAGGGCACACUACUUGGGAGUCACUGCGGGUUCGCGUGACGUGGAGUGCAGCUGAGGCUGUACAUGUGUAUAUAUUGUAUAUCAGUUAGUUUAGUUGUUGGGUUUUGUCUUUAUGUCCUUUAUCGCUUUUAUUUAAAGGAAUCAAUCGAAAAAAAAAAUUACUUGUUUUCCGCGUAAAGUUUAUUUUUGGUUACUAAAGUGACACCUGGAAAUCGGGGUGUUACAUUAAACAAUUCCAUCUAAUGACCUUCAAAUUCUUCAACUGUUGAAGCAUCUACCAAGUCGGCCCACUUCUCCAUAACCUCUGCAGCAAAAUUAUCCGUGCCAACAUACAAUUUGCACUUUGCCAAAACACACUUGUUGAUGUGCCACAAGCAUAAUAAAUGGGUAGUGGUGGGAAGGCUUUGUUUAGGAGCACUCAAUAAGGCCAGAUCUCGGUCAGUCACAAUCACUGUAGGCAACCUAGAUUGGUCAGCAAUAAGAGACUUCAUACACUCCAAUGCCCAAAUGUAAGUCAUAUGUGGCCUCACUGCCAAUGUAGCAGAAUGCUAUGGAGUAUGUCUUAUCUGUGGAAGUCAGACCAACAAUCUCGAGCAAGGGGAGUUUAUAUUUGCUUGUCUUGUAAGUGUAAUCCAUGAUCACUACAUAAAGGAAUGUGUUGAACAGUUUAACAGCAUUCGAAUGAGCCCAAAAUACAUCUCUAAUGACUUCCGAUUCGGGUUCAUGUCUUUCAAAGUGAACAUAGUUGUCACCGUCCAACUUCUUCAGCAAGUGUUGCAUCUCUGUCAAUGACCCACGAACGGAUUAUCUAAACCUCUUGCAAACACCAUAAAUUUGUUGGAUGAUAGACAAGUUUGCAGGAUUUUUUUCCUUCAAAGACAACAACAUCUUUCUCGGUGGAACCCAAAUCUUAGCCUGCUUUAUCACUUCCUCAUUCUCAACACUAGUUAGUCGAUCAGCGUAAUUGUGGUCAAGUAGUGACCUAGCUGGUUGAUGGAUGUGUUUACCAUCCAUCACCUUCAGCCACCAGUCUCUAUCAUUUUUCGUAGGUCGUCCUUUUAGUCUAAAUGGACAACCUUCCUUUUGUGUUGCCGUUCCUUCAACAAGAUCAGAGUCUUUGUAGGGAGCAUACUCACCAUGCUUCUCACACCCCAGAAGCACAUAUUCUUUUCUUCCAUUCGCACCACUAUCAUACUUUGUGAUCACCAAAACAAAUUUAUUUCUAAUAGAAAUGUCGUGAACCCAUUUCAGAAGAUCAACUCGUGUAGGGAAACACUGUUUAAUGAUAAACAAGUCAUAAUGCAUAAACAAGGCAUAGACAAAGCAUAAACAAAACAUGCAAAUUUUUUUUCAAUGAGUACCUGAUUAGUCGCAUACAAAUGGGAGACAUCUAUAGUUAUACUCUGGGGUUCAAAUGGUGAUGGUUGCUCCUCUUUAAGAUGAUCAUUUUCCAAUUCAGCAUUUAUCAAUUGUGACUCACCAAAAACAUAAGAAUCUGUCAUCCCUGGAAGUGAAAACGGUAAAUCAAUGUUCAUAUCCAAUACGGUAAAUCAAUAUUCACAUUCAAUACGGCAAAUCAAAGUUCAUAUUCAAUACGGCAAAUCAAAUUUCGUAUUGAAUAUGAACUUUCAUUUGCCGUAUUUGUUCACGAUGCAGAAACCUUAAACUACCAACUUAACUACCUAAACUAACUACUAAACUAACAACUAACUACUUAAACUAACUAUAAAUAAAGUACUAAAAACUAACAACACUUACCAGGAGUUUAAAGCUUCCCUUGGUGGUGGUGGUGGUGGUGGUGGUGGAAAGAAGGAAAGUGGAGAUGUUGGUGGUGGUGGGAAGAAGAAAUGUGAGGGAGUUCAGGAGGGUAAUGUUGAUGGAAAUGAGUAAUGGUCAGUGACCUGCUGCUUGUCAGAUAAAGUACAGGGGGCCUGGGAGGAGUUGGUGGAGGAAGGAGUAAUGGUGGAAAAUGUGAUCACACUGUCAGGACAUAAUACGGUUAAUGAUUAACCAUAUUAUAUAUAUUCAUUACGGUUAAUCAUUAACCGUAUUUGUUCUUUGGUGGAAGGAGGAGUAACAGUGACAAAUGUGUUCACACUGUGGGAAAAAAUACGGUUAAUCAUUAACUGUGUUCCAUAUAUUAAAUACGGUUAAUCAUUAACCGUGUUCCAUAUAUUGAAUACGGUUAAUGAUUAACCGUGGGGUACUUUUGGGAUAAAAAAAAAGGGUGGGGUGGGGAGCCUAAAGGGUGGAGCUUUAAACCCAAUUCCCACCACAUGUGUAUAUUGUUCCAUCAUGAACAUUGAGAUGAGGUAUAGUACCUAAGAUGCAAGGAACGUGAUACGAGAUUUCUAGAGAGAAGUGAGAGUGUAACCACUUAGAGAGAGAAAAUAACUGAAUUUUAAGCUUGUUAUUGCAUAUAUGAGCUAAGAGUCCCUUACAAUUGAUAAUCGUCCCCUAUUUAUAGGUGUGGAGUUGGGCUUGGCGCCUCUGAUGUAUCUUAAUGGGCCAAUUAGGCCUCGGGGAAGGAGGCCCAAGUCUCUGGUGCACUCUCCGCCUGAGGCUAGCGCUCUUGGGCGAGGGACCCUGGGGUCUCGCCCAGUCCACAAGUCCACAAGACACCGAGCUCGAAGCAUGAGAGCUAAGUGUGUCUUUAAGCAGAAAAACUAGGGCGAAGGCCAUAAGAGACUAUCCAACGCUAAAACCUAAGGUCUAAAAACGGAGAUUAAAGGCCAACAUGGCUUGGUGAGUAAAGCUUUUAAAAUCUACAUCUCAAACUUUUGUUGUGCCCUCUUCUCCGGGCAGUCUGAGUCCACAAGUGAGCUUGCGGCGAUGAGGCUGGAUUUGCUCGCCCCACCGUAGUGGCGCACGUGCCAUGAACCGUAACUUUUUGACAUGUGCUAAGCCUGCGCCACGUGCUGCGCCCUGAGGCGAUACAAGAGUCAACGAAUCCAAAGAAUCUCAACCACUAUCUCUGGGACGUCCCUUCGAAUCACAGUAGAGUCUGACGAUUUGAAUUCAAACUAAUAAGCUUUAACUGUUGUAACCCUUCGUUUAAUGCAUUGUCUUCUUUUCCCGAAACUCAUGCCGCAUUCCCUUAAGUAAUCAUUUUACCUUGCCACGUCAUGGCACGAUUCCCCAACCGCUACUCUCCCUGGUCUUCAAAUUCUCUCCCCUUCCAUUUUUCGCCUUUUCCCAUCAACUGUUCCCAUAUUCAUUUCUGACUCUCACACGCUCCGGCUCCCCUUGCUGACCUUGCGAACUUAAAGCUCCAGCCCCUCUUGCUCCUCCUUUCUCAGUCCUUUUCUGGUUAGUUUCUUAUCCUCUCCUUCUUCUUUUGCUUUUAUGAUGUCUUCCGGCGGGGCCCUUUACUCCGUAGAGGAGAUCAAAGCCCAUCGCUUGGCAACCUUUUCCACUCUACCUUCCCCCAUCUCCGAGGCUCCUGAUCAGGGAGUUCUUGACCAACCAUCAGAGCUCUCUACCAGCGAAUCCCUUUCGAACCUUGCCCAUAGGGUUGGGGGGCUUUGCAGUUCCCCAUUAUUAGAGGGCCUCCUUCGUACGACCGGCUGCCAAAAGCAUGAUCGCCCCUGGCAACACCGUGUGUUUAACGACCCCAAAUAUUCCCACUUUUUCUUUGUAUAUGAAUACUUGUUUCUUGAUCUUGGUGUAAAACUUCCAUUUUCUCCCUUUCUCACCCAAGUGCUAUGUGACAUUAACGUUUCUCCUUGUCAACUUCACCCGUGCUCCUGGGCUUAUCUGAAGUGUUUCGAAAUUCUCUAUUGCAGCGUUGAUGUGGUUCCUUCCCCUGCCCUAUUUUCUUUUUUCUUCAGAGCGGAUCCCCAAUCUCUAGGGACCCAUGGCUGGGUCAUCCUGGUACCCCGGCCGGGUCGCGAACGAUUUUCCCCUUACCAAAUUGGCCCCGAAUCUUGCCUGGCUCGCCGGUACUUCAGGGUCAUCGUCCACCCUGCCUACCCCUCAUCAUUUACCCAAAAGGACGGGAAAGCCCUUUUCCCUCUUUACUAGACACAGCGUCCCAAAACCGUAUUCAAUUCUCUCGAGACACGUUCUUCUUCUAGAGAGAGUUUCGCCAUUGGUGUCUUAUCCUAACUUCCUCUUUUUAGUUGCACUGAUAUACUCGCGGUUUCUCCCGGAUCCAAAUUGUUUCCUCGAUUAGGUUUUCCCUUUACCGCCUUCUUUACACCUUUAUCUUAAUUUCUUUGCUUCUGAUGACUUUACCUUUGCUUCUCAGGGAACAUGACGUUUUCUACUUCUGAAUUGCUGAAAGCAUUCCUUUCUGAAAACGUCAAGGCACCCUCCCCAGUCCAAGUUGGAGAGAAAAGACAGAGCUCACCGACAAGCGAGGGCUGUAAGGCCCUAAGUUCAAUUUGGAACAAUUUUAUGGAAGUUUGAAUAAAAUUGAAGUUUUAGUUAAUGUUUGAUAGCUGGCAGAUUAGAACUGUCAACUUGUGUGAAUUUUUAGAGGGUCUUAACGACUUCAUUUGGGAAAACUUCCUUCAUGAGAGUUGUAGCCCUUUAAGUCUAGAAAAUUCUCGAAGUGGAAUCAGGUCAUUCCGACCUCUGUAGCUCGCGAUAUCAUCGGUUUAGUGACGAUGGUCCUGGCUGUACAGUACCAGCGGAUUUAAUUGAUUUGUUUCCUUUCAAUUCCGAGUUUGAUCGUGAUAUUACUAAAAAGGGCUGAGGUUUUUGAUUAGUUUCAGGCCUGAGUAAGUUCUUAAGUGAUUGGGUCAAGGGUUUUGACUUGGGUCGGGCUUGGAAGAAAACAAACCCUAGCCCAAGAGAGGGAGAGAGGGGACGCGGGCUAUGUAGGGUUUUGGGAGGGAAAGGGUUUCUUUUCACACUAUUCUGAAGAAAGAAACCUUGUGCACUUCUGAAACACGUAAAAACAGAGGAGAAAGAGUGAGAGAAACCUUCCCCUUGCACCCUAGCCGUCACCGUCCCAAGCCCUACCACCGUCGACGUGUUCGCGCAAGAGAGAGGAGGAGUUCGCGAGCGAGAGGGAGAGAGGAAGGGUUACGCGUGGGAGAAGAGGAGAGAAACCAGAACCUUGCUCUUCAAUUUCAUCUUUUCUUCAAGCCUAAGGACAAAGAUGGUCGUGAAGAUAAUGGCGAUGACUCAUUCUUGGGAGUUGAUGCUACGUGACGUGCCAAUACCGGAGGACGACUACACUUCAGAGGAAGAGGCUAAGGAAUAGGGUUUGGGUUGAGAGUCUUUUGUUUUCUGUUGGGGUUGAGAGUUUCCGAAGUGUUGGUAUCGAACAAUUUUAUUGCUUAAAUUCGAAUGAACAAGUUUUGAUGUAAUCUUUAUUUUCAUUCAGGCCUUUGAUUCGUA